GCUAAACGCGAAGAACCUUACCUGGGCUUGAACUGUCGGUAUAGGGACCCGAAAGGGCGACGAUCCCGGGCAACCGGGAAGCCGAUAGAGGUGCUGCAUGGCUGUCGUCAGCUCGUGUCGUGAGAUGUUGGGUUAAGUCCCGCAACGAGCGCAACCCUUGUCUUUAGUUGCCAGCGAGUCAUGUCGGGCACUCUAAGGAGACUGCCUCGGAUAACGAGGAGGAAGGUGGGGAUGACGUCAAGUCAGCAUGGCCUUUAUGUCCAGGGCUACACACGUGCUACAAUGGGCGGUACAGAAGGACGCGAGACCGCGAGGUCAAGCCAACCCUUAAAACCGUUCUCAGUUCGGAUUGCAGGCUGCAAUUCGCCUGCAUGAAGUCGGAAUCGCUAGUAAUCGCGGAUCAGCUACGCCGCGGUGAAUACGUUCUCGGGUCUUGUACACACCG
rnacentral:rRNA from 1 species